AGUGAACGCUGGCGGUAGGCCUAACACAUGCAAGUCGAACGGCAGCACAGUAAGUGCUUGCUCUUACGGUUGGCGAGUGGCGGAUGGGUGAUGAAUACAUCGCACUCUACUUUUUCGUGGGGCUUAACGUAUGGAACUAUACGCUAAUACCGCAUCCUACCUCCGGGUGAAAGCUGGGGAGCUUCGUACCUUGUGCGUUUGCAUGAGCCGUUGUCGGAUUAGCUAGUUGUCGGGGUAAAGGCCCACCAAGGCGACGAUCCGUAGCUGGACUGAGAGGAUGAUCGGCGGCACUAGAAGUUGGCCACGGUCCAGGCGCCUAAGGGAGGGAGCAGUGGGGAAUAGUGGACAAUGGGCGGAAGUAUGAUCCAGCGAGACCGCGUGGGUGAAGGAGGCCUUCGGGUUGUAAAGCCCUUUUGUUGGGAAAGAAAAGCAGCAAGUUAAGAACAAGCUGUUCUGACGGUACCCAAAGAAUAAGCACCGGCUAACUUCGUG
rnacentral:rRNA from 1 species